rnacentral:rRNA from 1 species
CUUUUACGUUAGGAGGACGAACCACCGCCGGAAAGGCGGGCUAAUAUCCCAUAAGACCACAGGGUGGCAUUAUCCAGGGGUCAAAGCUCCGCAAGGGGUGCUAGAAGAGAAGCCCAAAUCCUAUCAGCUAGUUGGUGAGGUAACGGCUCACCAAGGCUUUGACAGGUAGCCGGCCUGAAAGGGUGAUCGGCCACCACUGGCACUGAGACACGGGCCAG